CACGUAGUUAGCCGUGGCUUUCUCGUUAGGUACCGUCAAGGUACGGCCCUAUUCGAACUAUACUUGUUCUUCCCUAACAACAGAGCUUUACAAUCCGAAGACCUUCUUCGCUCACGCGGCGUUGCUCCGUCAGACUUUCGUCCAUUGCGGAAGAUUCCCUACUGCUGCCUCCCGUAGGAGUCUGGGCCGUGUCUCAGUCCCAGUGUGGCCGAUCACCCUCUCAGGUCGGCUACGCAUCGUCGCCUUGGUGAGCCGUUACCUCACCAACUAGCUAAUGCGCCGCGGGCCCAUCCGUAAGUGACAGCCGAAGCCGCCUUUCAACUAAAGACCAUGCGGUCUUUAGGGUUAUCGGGUAUUAGCUCCGGUUUCCCGAAGUUAUCCCCGUCUUACGGGCAGGUUGCCCACGUGUUACUCACCCGUCCGCCGCUAACCGAACAGAAGCAAGCUUCUAUUCGGUCCGCUCGACUUGCAUGUAUUAGGCACGCCGCCAGCGUUCGUCCUGAGCCAGGAUCAAACUCU
rnacentral:rRNA from 1 species